AGAGAAUGAAAUGUCAUUUAUUUACUUACGUGGAUCUAAUGAGGUGGAUUUAUUAUUUUUGAAAUUCUUUUUCUGAUAUUAGGCUUAUUAUUUUCAAAAUUAAAUUAAGAGUAGAUGUCUAAAGGGUUGAUCGUGGUUUGGAAGGGAGAUCUGCAAGAUUGGGAAGAACAUCAGUGAAUGACCCUAACACCACCCUAUAGUCUAACGUUGCCGGAGAUAUCGCUGUUGGUCGUACCCAUCAGCUCCUCCAUUAUCGCAAACUUGUGCCACCACCAUCAAUUAAAAUCCAAAAACGCAAGAACUAGGAACCCUAACUCCAAAUUUCAAAAAGAAAAAAAAAUAACUCAAGUAUAGGAAAUCCUCAAAAUCGAAUUUGAAAACAAAGAUUCCAACUCCUCCAAUCGCAACAUUAGAAAAACCAAGAACAGAAACCCCAAAAAGUUCCCAAAUUCAGAAACCCUAAAACCAAACCCCCAAAUUACAAGAUCAAAACCCUCAACCUAUAAUUGUCAACCUGCAGAGAAGAAAUAGAAACACAAGAACAACCUUAAAUCACAAGCCAAGAAACUGCGAAGCAUCCUCCCCGUGAGCCCUGGCGCUGCGAAAAAGGAGUUCGCACCCUAGCCACCUGAACUCGCAUCCCCAACGUGCAAAAACCCCCCAAUCAGAACCAAGAAAGAUAAGAGAA
rnacentral:lncRNA from 1 species